UUUGCCAUGGCUCAGUUGCUAGAGCAUGAGACUCUUAAUCUAAGGGUCAUGGGUUCAAGCCCCAAAUUGGGUAAAA